UACGUAGGGGGCAAGCGUUGUCCGGAUUUAUUGGGCGUAAAGAGCGUGUAGGCGGCCUGAAAGGUCAGCUGUGAAAACUCGGGGCUCAACCCUGAGACGUCGGUUGAAACCAUCUGGCUAGAGUCCGGAAGAGGAAUGUGGAAUUCCCGGUCGUAGCGGUGAAAUGCGCAGAUAUCGGGAAGAACACCCGUGGCGAAGGCGGC
rnacentral:rRNA from 1 species